AUUAGGGUGUUCAUGGUUUUGGGUGGGCUUUAGUAGUCAGCCGCACCUUGUGUUUUAAGAAAACCAGGUGGAAUUAACAAAUGAAACUUGGUCAGGAUGUUAAGGGAGGUAUCCUC